AGUCAAAGCCAAAUAGACAAGGCUCUCCUCCCUCCCGAGGAGCAUCUGGCCUUCUGCUGGCCUCGGCUGACUGCCUGCUCUUCCUCCCUGCUCAGUGCUCUCCGUGCAGUCUGGCUCCCAGACACAGCCCAGCACUCGGAGCAGUAGUCAGUGAGGGGUAAAUGGCUUCAGGGAGCUCCCUGCAAGGUGCUCAGGCACAGCCUGGCCUGUGACGGUGAUUCUGGCUCCUGUGGGUCUCCUGGGGCCUAUGGCUCAGCUCUCAUUGCUAAAGACGCCAGGACUGGGGCCUCAAACUUCCCUGAAGGUGAAGGAUUGCCCCAGAGGCUGCCUUGGGGAGCUUCCAGCAGGUGAUGGACUCCAUAUCCAGCAUAAGCCGCCAGAGCCCUGGAUGCGCGACGUUAGAAGAUCCGGUUUCCAAACACUGUUUUCCUCUCACGAGGGAGGAGUCGGCCGCGUUUCUGUGCUGGGUUUGGCCGUCUGUGGAGAAGGCGUUUCGGCCUCCAGGUCUCCCUGCCCGUGUGAGGCUGAGUCUGCCUUCAGUGCUCCCCUCCUCCCAGGGUGACCGCCUUACCCCGCGCUGUGCUCUGAGGCCUUCUGGUGACGUCGCCCUGCCCCAUGAUUUGGGGAGAGGUUUAGAAAGUUCAGUCUAAGGGCUCUGGGUUAGAAGCCAGACAAAGAAAUUUGGAUUCAGAUCCCUGCAUGCCCACCAUUUAUCCGACCCGAGGCAGGCUAUUCAGGCCAGCUUGGUUUUCUCGUGUGUGAAACGGGCAAGUGAAUGGUUCCUAACUCAAAACUCUGUUUUGAGCAGGGCUUCCCCACUGCACACAUCCAGGGCUCCAGUCCAUUGUCUUCUACCCAACUCACUUCUCCUGGGGUAUGAGGAUGGAGCCCCUGGAGUUGUGCGACCUCAUCAGCCUGGCGGUGAGGAUAAGCAGGAGCAUGUACAGAAAGCUCACAACAUGGUGCCCGCCACCUCUGGGCUCCAGCAGUCCAAGGGCAGCCUCUGGUGCUGGUUCAGUGGCACCUGGGAGCCAUGGUUCUUCAUCAGCAGCACC
rnacentral:lncRNA from 1 species